UCACAGCUGGGGAAACUCCAGGGCAGUGUGGAUGCUUCUUUGUGUUAUCAUUUGUUUGUGUAUUUUUGGUACUUAUUAUUUUUCUUUUGUUUCAUUUAAACUAGUAAAUGUGUUUUAUUGGUUAGCUCUCCUUUUCAGUGAAUCUGAGAUGGAGGAAGAUAACUUUUAUUUAUGGAAGAUGUACCUCGAAUUGUAUGAGUCACACCGGCACGAACCCUGUUGAACUCUAUGCAGGCUGACCGAGACAGGAGGGGCCCCUAGGGGCUGAGAGGGUGGGGGAAUUCUACUCCCAAUUCCUGCCUCUAACAAACUCUCACAAUUCUGUGGAAGCCGUUGAAACAAAGAUACUACACCUUUUACCCCACUGCUCUCUUAGGUCAGUCUGCUUUCAACAACUGCUAUUUUUUUUUUAAUUAUUAUCUGAAUCCUUUUUGAAUUUCUUUAUUGUAAUUUAAUCAUCCUGUUUUAAAAAAACUUGGAGCAAAAAGCUAUUUAUCUUUAAUAAGAUACCAGUUUGUAUCAGAAAAUUUAGAUGGCAACCUAGAAGGAAGAAAAUACUGAACAUUAAAUUAGAUUUUGAAUUUGUUAAAAUAAUUAUUUUCCUUCUCUUUCUCUCUCUCUCUCACACACACACACACACACACACACACACACACACACACACUCUUUUUGUGUGCGUGUGUUCUCUCCAUUGUGCAGGAUGAAAACUUGCUUUUGUGGGUGUUUAAUAAGGCAGUGACGUGUGUGUGUGUGUGUGUGUGUGUGUGUGUGUGUGUGUGUGUGUGUGUGUGUAAAAUCAGAAAACUUUUGUUUGUUGGGUUAGUGGUGUGUUUAAAAAAAAGUACUUUCACCUAGUUAUUUUACUCCCAUUCACACUGAUCUUUUUGUUUAUUUGUCUUUUACUUCGCACAUGUGACUUAAUACAGAUACAGUAAACGGUUUUUGAGAUGUUUAAGUUUGCUGUAGCUGCACUGUUGUGGCACAAUCAUCUGUUGUGGCUGAGCAUGGCAAUCUUUGUUUUGCAUGGAAAUGCAGGUAUUAAUUGAUGAUUAGGUCUUUAAAAUCUAGACAUCUAGACAUUUUAAGUAUCUAGAAAUUAAUACACACAGGGCAUACAUUAUUAGCAAUUUUAUUUAUAAUUAUAAGAAUAAGAACAAAGGGGUUUGAAGUAAGAAUAUUGUUGAAUACUAAAACAGUUACAAGAUCAGUGAUUUAUAGUGUAGUUUCCUGUAUUCAAACCAGGAAUUUACAUCCAGAUGUAAUAACAUUUGCAAUUACAUUAACGCAUACAUGUUAAAGAUUGUGCAGGAUGGAAGCUGGUAAUUUUAAACAAAAACUUUGUAAUCAGAACUGUGCAUACAGUGGGAGCAGAAUACUGACUGUUGAUCCUCUCACUACUUAUGCUAAUGAUAGUGGGUUAUAGUAUAUAUUUGACAUUGUGACGACUUUUUAUAUUCUUAAGUAUUACAAAUUUGUGUAUAUUUUAUAUCUCACUGAGAGCUUAACUUCCUGUUUAGAACUAUGCUUACACAUUCAAAGCAGAAUACUCAUUAUUGCUGCUUAUUUUUUGAGACAGACAGUCUCACAAUUGGGACUACAUUGUGAUGUA